AACCGAUGACCAAAAAAAAGCUACUCGACUUCGGGGACCUUCUUGAUGGCCAGAAACUGGACGCACGUUUACCAUGGAGCUCAUACGCGUCUGCCACAGUAAAGAGGGAUACGUGUUUUGCCGUUUUAUAACACGCGUCAGCAGGGACUUUCCUAACGAUUACACCGAGAAAUGUGCCUCUACAUGGAAUUUCGUGAUGGGUCCUUCAAUCUUUUUUUUUCUUUCUUUUUCCUUUCUUUUCUUCUUUGAUCUCUUUGACAGGAGGUCAACUCGAAAUUGACUCGCGUAGUCCCAGCUCUCGGAUCGAGAGUUUUCAUUACUUGAACAGCACGCCAAAGACCUACCACUAAAUAUAGCGUUUUAGUACUUGCUCGUGGCACUGUGCUUGUAAAAUAUUCUUGGUAUACCACCCACCACGCUGUACCUAGUGGAAGUUCAUGCAGUGGAUGUGCAAGUGGUGCAACUAAGAAAGGAAGCCAAGGAAACCGUCUACUUUCUGUACUGGCAAAGCCAUCCGGUUGUCAACUUGUUUUACUUGGCUCAUCUUCCACCAGGAGGUGCUAGUAGCGUCAUCAGCCACGGUCUUACCAAUGCACUUUCUCUUGGACUCGACUCUGGCUACUCUUGCGAACCGGUGCCUCGUGGGACAACCGAAAGUCGCUGCCGUUAACAAAACGAUUUUCAUGGCUCGUGGGAAGCCGAUGCAAACUUCUGACACGUCCGGUCCUCCAUUUUAUUCCCAGUCCCGAGUCGCUGGUUUUAGUGGGCUGUAAAGUCGGGCUGGUUACUUUAUAUCAAGGUGGCAAUCAUAUUUCAAACGCCAAGGGAAGGCUCUUUCCUCUCUCAUUCCGCGCGCGCCAUCUUUCCUUCGGACGCAACGUUGUUCCGCGUAAUUUUUACAGCUACCGAGGUCAUGCGGUAUAAAAGACAAUUUACUGCUGCGAAAUCCUAUACUGUCUUGUCUCGCCCGUGUCCUCCUCUGCCUUUUACUGUUCGCCAUUAAACACGAUGAAAUUCGCGUAGGCCGAAUACAUCGUCUUUUAAUCGUAGAAAUUCAAACGUCACAAGUAUUACGUAUAUCGUUGUUACGUACACGUGACUACCCGCUGCCCGGUUAUCUCUGUAUCCGUUAAUUAAUUUAUACAUCGUCCAAUAAUAAUCAGUGUAACGGUAAUAACGGAGCCAACAGCCGUAACGAAUUAGACUCGCGUUAUACAGCAGCCAAAUGAUUGAUCCCCAUCCCUUUCGAGCUGACCAAAGCCCGAUAAAUGUGCCACGAUUAUUAAUUAUCAUGGACCGUCAUUAGGCUGCACAAUAUUUGUUUAAUGUCUUCGAAGAUCAUAAUUACACCGUGAAACGUAAUUAACGUUCUUUCCUCUUAAAUUUAUCAUUCCCUUGUCGGCGCACCUAUACACCGCGAAGAAAUAUAUUUGUUGCACGAAGUACUUUAAGGAGCAUUUCUCAGAUAGUUCACCGAAACUCUCGGGCUGAUAAAUUUCAUUCUCAGGAAAGCUACCGCGGAUAUAUCGGAUCUUGAAUUAUAUCACGAAUUUCUUAUACACAGUCCCUAUCGAGAAAAGGAGGUCGUGGCCAAGAUUGCAUAAAGCAGUGAUCCUCAUGAAUACGUAAAAGGGUUGCUGUUUUCUUUUUCGCUACUGAGAAAUAACAAACUGUAAUUGAAAUGCCGAUGACGUUCCGCGCUCCGCCGGAAGUCGUCGACUGGAAAGUACUUGGAAAUUUAUGCCGAGGAACCUGAUAAUACAUAAACUUUGUAUCUCGCUCUACCAAUUAAGCUAUUCUUUAACGAAUUCAUUUAGGAAAGUCAUUUGCGAAUUAAUUAGCAGUCGGAAACGAGAGUAACAGAUGUUCAUACUUAUUUGAAUUCUGAGACGCUAUGGUUAUAUUGAUGCACAUGAGAUUGCGAAUUGUAUGUUAUUCUGUCUGAGAAGAUUUAUCUAUAAGUUAUCCAUGGCUGUUAUCAUUCAUUGUAUCUUGCACGGUAGCGUUUUAAUUAACCAUUGAAAUCUUCUGUAUGACUGUACUCGCGGUCUUUUAAUGUACUUUUCUUGUUUUUAACUUCUUGGCUAUUCUUGUUUGAUAUACCUCGGGUCUCGAAGUACUAUGAAAUAUUGUAGGAUCCUAUCAGGAUGGAAAACAAUGGCGUACUUACUCAGUGAGCUGAACGUUACGAUUGCUUAUUGCAUAUUCGCUAUCCGUAAGCGGUGCGAAUAUUAAAGACUAGGGCGAAUUCUAAAAUGGUUAUACGGCAGAGCUUUGUCGUGCUGAAAUUAUUUUUGAUUUUGAACUUGCCGCAUUUCGAGCGCAUCAAGUCAAUGAAAGUAUGAGGAACGUGUGUGACGUAUGUAUGCAUGUUGCGAAUACGAGUGUGUUAUUUUUUAUUGGAUUUGUAAUCAUACGUGCCAUGUGUGUGGAUAGGUGUACGUAGAGCGUAAAAUCGAUUAAAUCUAGGAACGAUAACGGAACGGAUAUGAAUAGCAAUUUUUCUUGGAAAAUAUUGUUGCGUUGGCACGAAUACAGGAAAUUCAUAUGUGGAGCGAAUAAAUUCGUAUUAAAGCGCGAUAAGCCGCACAGAGAAAUCUGUUACCUCGUGAGAAAUACGUAGGACGUUUUCACUGUAUAAAUGUAAAACGGCGACACUGUUCUGUGCGAAAGCUUAAAAUUCGUUUGGAGUCGAAUAUUCCUAGUGAAUUUCGCAUAGAAUCUCGUUUCAACGGUCCGUUAAAAUAAGAUCCGCGAAAUAUAAAGUAAAAUGUUGCGAAUCUCCUGGCAGGUCGCCCGUAGUCCAUUGUUUUGCCCUCGCAAUUGAUAUGUAUUACUGGCUGAGAUUAUUUUUCAUAUCUGGUCGAAUUACGGUCGACGUGUCACGUAGAUUCCUGGCAUUUUAUAAUGUUAUUUGCGUUAUCCCUCAAACAAUGUAGCAUUCUCAGAAGCCAGUUCUGUUCUUUCUCCGUGACUCCCCUAAAUAUUUAGGGUGAAGUUAAAGGGUGGUUCAAUUCAAAAUAUAUCAGCCCCUGCCGGUGGGAUGACAGUAAAUAAAAUAAAUCAGUCUGACAAUAUCAAAAAUUUUAUCUCAUCAAGAGCAAACAAAGCGUAGCGCAUAAAUUUACAAAAAUUCAAAAUUUUACAUUGUAAGGUGCAAUCUUUUUUUUUUAAUAAUUUGUAAAAAUAACGCCAAAUACUUUUAUACAUCCCGAAGCUCCGAUUCGCUGGGAUUAGACAUUCGCUCGAAUUAACUGACAAAGGGAAUGCGCUGAAAAGACGUUCAGAGAAAUAAUGCGUCAAGGGUCACUCGUGUCGCCCUCUCUCGAUGUCCCUUUGCAAAUACCGUGUUCGAGGUUUUUUCCUUUUGACAAUCUGAAGGGUCCUUCGGGAAGGUGUCCACCCUUUACCACGUAUUCCCUGUCUCCGGCGUGGCCUUCAUCCAUCCCCUUCUGGUAAUGGCUUCACCCCCUUCGCCAGCAAUCAACUCUCAUCCCUUCGUUAAUUGCUUCAAUUAUAUCUUUGUUACGAGCAAUUUGAGUCGGAACAUUUUUGGCCUGUCUCCUGCUCUGACCGACGCGAAAGUUCUACUUGAGAAUGCUUGACUGUUCAAACUGGAGAAGUGACAGAAGAGGAACGGCUCGAAGCACGAAACACCCUGAACACAGCGAACCAAGAGGACUUGAACAUAGCUCAUGAUCGUGCCAAGAGGACUUAUAGGAAGUUUUACCACUGUUACCACAAACUUCGAGUUGCAUUACGAUUUUACGGUCUUAUCA